rnacentral:rRNA from 1 species
AACGAACGCUGGCGGCAGGCCUAACACAUGCAAGUCGAGCGAGCAUUUCGGUGCUAGCGGCGGACGGGUGAGUAACGCGUGGGAACGUGCCCUUUUCUGCGGAAUAGUUCUGGGAAACUGGUGGUAAUACCGCAUACGCCCUUUUGGGGAAAGAUUUAUCGGAGAAGGAUCGGCCCGCGUUGGAUUAGGUAGUUGGUGGGGUAAUGGCUCACCAAGCCGACGAUCCAUAGCUGGUUUGAGAGGAUGAUCAGCCACACUGGGACUGAGACACGGCCCAGACUCCUACGCGAGGCAGCAGUGGGGAAUCUUAGACAAUGGGGGCAACCCUGAUCUAGCCAUGACGCGUGAGUGAUGAAGGCCUUAGGGUUGUAAAGCUCUUUCAGCUGGGAAGAUAAUGACGGUACCAGCAGAAGAAGCCCCGGCUAACUCCGUG